rnacentral:tRNA from 1 species
AGACAAACAAUUGAUUAUGGAUAUUUUUAAUUCUGUAAUCCUGUCACCUUAGGUCGAUCGGUACCUCAGGUUAAAGCCUAAGAAAUAAUGUUUUCAUUACUUAUUUGGGCUAUUAAUUUCAGUUCCUAAACUUGUCUAGGUCACACCCAUCAACUUUCUUCUGGGCUAUUAGCUCAGGCGGUUAGAGCGCACCCCUGAUAAGGGUGAGGUCCCUGGUUCAAGUCCAGGAUGGCCCAUUCCGUUGUUGGGGGUAUAGCUCAGUUGGUAGAGCGCCUGCUUUGCAAGCAGGAUGUCAGCGGUUCGAGUCCGCUUACCUCCACUGAUCAACUGCCUAAUAACUCUUUAAAUGAAGAUUGUUGUUAAUGUGUGAUAUCUAGACGUUGUUCACUGGAUGACCCUAGCUUCAUAUCAUUCCUUUUUGAUUCAAAAGAAUUUUCAAGGUUGAUAAGACGCUGGGCUCACUGUAUUUCUUUAUUGAAUUACAGAUUAGUUCAGUAGAACCUUGACAACUGCAUAGGUAAGUCUGGAAAGAAUAAAGCAUCUCAUAGAUGCAUAUAUUCUAUUAAUUAAGAUUCUUUUAUCUUUUUUGGUAGAAUAAAUGUUCAAUUCAUAAGUAAAGAGCCGAGUCUAUGGUCUUUUCUUUAUAUUUAUCGGCUGGUAAAACUGUCAAUAAAUAUUUUCAGAAGGAUCUUUAGAUAUUAACUAUAUGGUCAAGCUACAAAGGGCUCACGGUGGAUACCUUGCACACAGAGCGAUGAG